UUUACCACCGCACAAUUUAAAACUUAAAGUUGGCUCGGUAGUCAUCAUGCUUAGAAAUUUAAACCAACCAAAACUGUGUAAUGGAACGCGUUUGGUGAUAAGAAAACUGAUGAGCAAUGUUAUUCAUGCGUCGAUACUUAAAGGAAAGUUUAAAGAUGAGAAAGUUCUUAUUCCAAGAAUUCCGAUGAUCCCAACGGAUAUGCCCUUUGAGUUUAAACGAAUUCAAUUCCCGAUUCGUCUUGCCUUCGCCAUGACGAUCAACAAAUCACAGGGCCAAUCCUUGACUAUUUGUGGCCUCAAUCUAGAAAAUGCAUGUUUUUCUCAUGGUCAAUUGUACGUGGCAUGCUCACGUGUCGGCAAACCAUCCGCUUUAUUUGUUCUUGGGCCUGACCAAAAAACAAAGAGUGCCGUUUACCACAAAGUGCUUGAAUGAAAAUAAAGCCUAAAUUAGUUCAGCUAAAAAGUAACACGACAUUCAUUGACUGUUAGGCGGUACGAAGUUUGCCGGGUCAGCUAGUGUUAGUAUAUAUAAUUUAAAAUUGUUCAUUAAAGAAUUCAUAUUUAAAUGCUGAGGUACAAAAUUAGCUAUACAGAUUCUAGUGUCACAUGUACAUGCGCAUCAUAUUUGGAAUCCUUUUUCCAUUUUUGGACAUUUCUCGACUUCUGAGAGAAUUCAAAGAACAAAAAAUAUGGCAUUCUUCGAAUGUCAAGCCAAUUAUGAUAUACAUUCAGUCAGGCUCCGGUUUUCACUUUCACAAAAUAUGUGUGAUUUACUUUUCAAAACGAAAAGUAAGGCGCUUCAGCAUUCGUAAAAUGCGCCAUUGAGUUUGUGACCUUUCUAUAAAUAGUUUUAAUUUAAACAGACCUUAAAAUUGGAUCUGCAAAAAUUGGUGUGUGCAACAACAAAAAGAGGUCUUUUUGUAUGAGAUGGUACUAACGCAGUAAAUUUGGCUCUUAAUAGCCUUUUCACACUGGGCGCGUUUCCUGUCGAUAUCGGAAUAGACGCAAUGGAGCAGAAAAAGCGUUCACGUCUUGAGAACUGCUGAAUUGGGUGCUUGAUGACAAGAAAAGUAACCAAAUUUUGCGAAAUCAACCGAAUAAUACAUUUCUUUGUAGAUUUUGUGGGAGUUCUUCUUCAAAGCCUGAAAUCAUAAAAGUUCUUCUCCAGUUCUUAAUGGCCCCAGGGGUCACAAAAAUUUCGUAUGAUAAUAAUAGAAUCAGCUUAAAGUAUUUUAUAUAAGGAUUUUGUGUAUAUUUUUACCUUUUCGCACAA